ensembl:lncRNA
GGUUCUUGAAGGCCGUCACCUGUGCCUGGUGGGUCUGUGUGAGAACACUCAGAGGGGCCACCUGGGGGCUGCUGGGCUGACUGUGAGCGUUCUCACCCACCCCUCGACCAGCGAGCAGCUUCGUCCCGUAGGCCCGGGUUGUCAGGAGCACCGAGGAGUCCCCCCGCAGUGGCCCUGGCAGGUCAGCCCGAGAGAGCAGGGCCGCCACGUCUGCGGGGGCAGCCUCAUCAGCCUCCGUGGGUGCUGCCCGCCGCCCACUGCGUCUGCAGCUCUGUGAGCCUGACCGUCCAGCUGGGAGCAUCUGUCCUGCACACCAGCCCCCCAGGCUGUCUUCGUGGCUGUGCUCUGCGUCAUCUGACACCCCUCCUUCAACGGGAAUGUGCCUGCUGAAGCUGGCUCCGCUGUGCCCGUCUCCCAAACCGUCAGGCCCAUCCCUCUGGCCUCGGCAGGCUCCUCCUUCCCACCGGGCACCCUCUGCUGGCUCACCGGCUGGGGGGACAUCAGGCAGGAUGGGUGACUCUGGAGGUCCCCUGGUCUGCCCGCUCCAGGACCAGCGCUGGGCACAGGUGGCAGUGGUGAGCUUCAGUGGGGUCUGCGCUGAGCCCAGCCACCCGGGCGUGUGCGCCAAUGUCUCUACCUGCCAGCCCUGGAUCCGCGCCUCGGCCUCCUGCCGAGACACCUGCUCGGGGGCUGACCCCUCCCCGGGGCAUGGCCUGCCCUUCUCCCAUCAUCUCCUCCGAGCUGCCCAUUUCUGUGGGGCCCUUCCCUGCUCUGGCUCCCUGUCCCGCCUG